rnacentral:rRNA from 1 species
CCUACGGGAGGCAGCAGUAGGGAAUUUUCCACAAUGGACGAAAGUCUGAUGGAGCAACGCCGCGUGCAGGAUGAAGGCCUUAGGGUUGUAAACUGCUUUUAUCUGUGACGCGGUAGCAGAUGAAUAAGGACCUGCUAACUACGUGCCAGCAGCCGCGGUCAUACGUAGGGUCCAAGCGUUAUCCGGAAUUACUGGGCGUAAAGAGUGCGUAGGUGGUAAAUUAAGCGAAUAGUGAAAUGACGAGGCUCAACCUCGUGUCCAUUAUUUGAACUGGUUUACUAGAGAAUGAGAGAGGUAGAUGGAAUUCCCUGUGUAGGAGUGAAAUCCGUAGAUAUAGGGAGGAACACCGAUGGCGUAGGCAGUCUACUGGCUCAUUCUGACACUAAGGCACGAAAGCGUGGGGAGCAAACGGGAUUAGAUACCCUUGUAGUC